AAGGAUUCCCCUAGUAACUGCGAGUGAAGAGGGAAAAGCUCAAAUUUAAAAUCUGGCAGUCUUCUGAUUGUCCGAGUUGUAAUUUAGAGAAGUGCUACCCGUGUUGGCCCGUGUAUAAGUUUCCUGGAAUGGAACCUCAUAGAGGGUGAGAAUCCCGUCUUUGACACGGACUACCAAUGCUUUUGUUGGUGUGCUCUCGAAGAGUCGAGUUGUUUGGGAAUGCAGCUCUAAAUGGGUGGUAAAUUCCAUCUAAAGCUAAAUAUUGGGGAGAGACCGAUAGCGAACAAGUACCGUGAGGGAAAGAUGAAAAGAACUUUGGAAAGAGAGUUAAACAGUACGUGAAAUUGCUGAAAGGGAAACGCUUGAAGUCAGUCGCAUUACUUGGGGAUCAGCCUGCCUUCGUUGGUUGGUGUACUUCCUGAUUAAUGGGUCAGCAUCAGUUUUGACCGGUGGAUAAGAGCUUGAGGAAUGUGGCAUCUCCGGGUGUGUUAUAGCCUCUUGUUGUAUACAUCGGUUGGGACUGAGGAACUCAGCACGCCGCAAGGCCGGGUUGUUUACAAUCACGUACGUGCUUAGGAUGCUGGCAUAAUGGCUUUAAUCGACCCGUCUUGAAACA
rnacentral:rRNA from 1 species